UAGGGAAUCUUCCGCAAUGGACGAAAGUCUGACGGAGCAACGCCGCGGGAGUGAAGAAGGAUUUCGGUUCGUAAAACUCUGUUGUUAGGGAAGAAAAAAUGUAUAGUAACUAUAUACAAAAGAGACGGUACCUAACCAGAAAGCCACGGCUAACUACGUGCCGGCAGCCGCGGUAAUACGUAGGUGGCAAGCGUUGUCCGGAAUUAUUGGGCGUAAAGCGCGCGCAGGUGGUUUAGAAAGUCUGAUGUGAAAGCCCACGGCUCAACCGUGGAGGGUCAUUUGAAACUAAUAAACUUGAGUGCAGGAGAGAAAAGUGGAAUUCCUAGUGUAGCGGUGAAAUGCGUAGAGAUUAGGAGGAACACCGGUGGCGAAAGCGGCUUUUUGGCCUGCAACUGACACUGAGGCGCGAAAGCGUGGGGAGCAAACCGG
rnacentral:rRNA from 1 species